UCCGUAGACGGUAGAAUCAGUUCCUAGUUAAAUGUCAAAAGCCUAACUUUGAAAUAGCUUCGAAUACUGUUCUACUUGAGUUUUAUACAGAAGACUAGAAUUCUAUACGGAAGGGUAAAAUCUGUAGAUAUAUAGAGGAAUAUCAGUAGCGAAGGCGAGUCUUUGGUAAAAACUGACGUUGAGGGACGAAAGUAUGGGGAGCAAACA
rnacentral:rRNA from 1 species